rnacentral:rRNA from 1 species
GAUGAACGUUGGCGGCGUGCUUAAUACAUGCAAGUCGAACGAGGAGACUUUUGUGCUUGCAUAAGGGUCUCUUAGUGGCGAACGGGUGAGUAACGCGUUGGUGAUCUACCCCGAAGUGUGGAAUAACCCCGGGAAACUGGGGCUAAUACCGCAUGUGGUCAUGAGUGUUAGAGUCUCAUGUCUAAAGGAGCAAUUCGCUUCGGGAGGAGCCUGCGUCCCAUCAGCUAGUUGGUAGGGUAACGGCCUACCAAGGCAAUGACGGGUAGGGGGCCUGAGAGGGUGACCCCCCACACUGGCACUGAAACACGGGCCAGACACCUACGGGUGGCAG